rnacentral:rRNA from 1 species
AUUGAACGCUGGCGGAAUGCUUUACACAUGCAAGUCGAACGGCAGCACGGACUUCGGUCUGGUGGCGAGUGGCGAACGGGUGAGUAAUGUAUCGGAACGUGCCCAGUCGUGGGGGAUAACGUCGUGAAAAUUACGCUAAUACCGCAUACGAUCUAUGGAUGAAAGCGGGGGAUCGCAAGACCUCGCGCGAUUGGAGCGGCUGAUAUCAGAUUAGGUAGUUGGUGGGGUAAAGGCCCACCAAGCCAACGAUCUGUAGCUGGUUUGAGAGGACGACCAGCCAGACUGAAACUGAGACACGGUCCAGGCUCCUACGGGAGGCAGCAGUGGGGAAUUUUGGACAAUGGGCGAAAGCCUGAUCCAGCCAUUCCGCGUGCAGGAUGAAGGCCCUCGGGUUGUAAACUGCUUUUGUACAGAACGAAAAGGUUUCUACUAAUACUAGGAGCUCAUGACGGUACUGUAAGAAUAAGCACCGGCUAACUACGUGCCAGCAGCCGCAGUAA